GUGGCACAUUGUUAAAGCCUGGCACUGAUAUCGGUGUUCAGGUGUCGGAAGUGUGCUAAAGUAAGCAGGCCGGGUUUUCGCUAACACCAUUAGGGCUAAUCCGCCCCAUGACUGGGGUUUGAUAGCCACCUAGGCCACAUGU